rnacentral:rRNA from 1 species
UACGUAGGGUGCAAGCGUUAAUCGGAAUUACUGGGCGUAAAGCGUGCGCAGGCGGUUUUGUAAGUCUGACGUGAAAUCCCCCGGGCUCAACCUGGGAAUUGCGUUGGAGACUGCAAGGCUAGAAUCUGGCAGAGGGGGGUAGAAUUCCACGUGUAGCAGUGAAAUGCGUAGAGAUGUGGAGGAAUACCGAUGGCGAAGGCAGCCCCCCUGGGCCA